rnacentral:rRNA from 1 species
GAUCCUGGCUCAGGAUGAACGCUAGCUACAGGCUUAACACAUGCAAGUCGAGGGGCAGCAUUUCAGUUUGCUUGCAAACUGGAGAUGGCGACCGGCGCACGGGUGAGUAACACGUAUCCAACCUGCCGAUAACUCGGGGAUAGCCUUUCGAAAGAAAGAUUAAUACCCGAUGGCAUAAUUAGACCGCACGGUCUUAUUAUUAAAGAAUUUCGGUUAUCGAUGGGGAUGCGUUCCAUUAGGCAG